AUAGGGGAGCCGGAGGGAAACCGAGUCUUAAUUGGGCGUUAAGUUGCAGGGUAUAGACCCGAAACCCGGUGAUCUAGCCAUGGGCAGGUUGAAGGUUGGGUAACACUAACUGGAGGACCGAACCGACUAAUGUUGAAAAAUUAGCGGAUGACCUGUGGCUGGGGGUGAAAGGCCAAUCAAACCGGGAGAUAGCUGGUUCUCCCCGAAAGCUAUUUAGGUAGCGCCUCGUGAAUUCAUCUCCGGGGGUAGAGCACUGUUUCGGCUAGGGGGCCAUCCCGGCUUACCAACCCGAUGCAAACUGCGAAUACCGGAGAAUGUUAUCACGGGAGACACACGGCGGGUGCUAACGUCCGUCGUGAAGAGGGAAACAACCCAGACCGCCAGCUAAGGUCCCAAAGUCAUGGUUAAGUGGGAAACGAUGUGGGAAGGCCCAGACAGCCAGGAUGUUGGCUUAGAAGCAGCCAUCAUUUAAAGAAAGCGUAAUAGCUCACUGGUCGAGUCGGCCUGCGCGGAAGAUGUAACGGGG
rnacentral:rRNA from 1 species